CCUGGCCUUGUGCUGCUGGAGGAGAGGAGCAAACAGCCCAAACUGCUAAGGAGGGGAGUACGCAGCUGGCAUGCACAGGCUCCUUUCCCCUCCCUGGAGCUUUCUGUGAUGCUGAGGAGCGUGGUGUCUGGGGACUCUGUGAAGCCCACUGGCGAGGCACGGUGUGUUCAGAGGAGAAUUCGACCCCCAAGAUGUUUUCCAGCCCUGAGAGCUAUAAUUUACAAUUUUCCCUUGGAUCGCAUUAAGUGGGAGCUCUGCCAGUGGGUUCAGGACCACUAACUCUGCUUUCCACUCCACAUCACUUCCUUAAGCCUCAGGAUGAGAGAGAGCAGCAGACAUCACAGCAAUGCGGAUCUGAUUUCAAAGCCCCCGGUCAGGUUAUGGUUUUGCUAAGGAAGUCUCUGGCAUGGCUUUAAGAGAAUGUUCAGGAGCCAUUGUGAUGAAUUCCAAUUAAGAGUCUUCCUGACACCAGAGGAUACAGAAGUCAAAGAAUGCCCUCAGCAGCACAGCAACAGACUGCACAGAGCACAGAUAAAUGUAAGAAAAUGGCAUAAUUGUAAAACAGAAUAGAAAAUUCCUGAAGAAAUGAAAGGGCUUUGAAUUUGGAAGACUCUCCAAAUGAAUUGUUCAGCUAAGGUUUCUGCCUGGAGCCUGAAAGAACUUGAUAGAAGAUUGUUGUAUGCUUGAUGUGGAAAAUAGUGGAAUGAUAAAAAUAC